GCCUACGUGGUGUAAUGGUCAGUACACUCGGCGCGUAUUCGAGAGGUCCAGGGUUCGAAUCCCCGAGAGGGCA
rnacentral:tRNA from 1 species